CAACCCUUUUUUAUAAUAGCCAGAAGCUGGAAAAAAUAAAAUUGAUUUCUAAAAGUCUUUUUCACAAAUAACCUUAGUUUGCAUGGUGAAACCAUUGCAGACUUAAUUUGGCAGAGGGCUGGCCUAUAGUUUCCUGUCUCUGUCCUUAGAUUUAGAAAGCAGGGGGACCCAUCGACACUUUUCAGAUUAACACACUGAAGAAAACUCAAGUCUGCUUGAAAUGCCUCAGAAUCUGACCACAUUUGAGUGGGAAGGAAGAUUCGAGAUAGUCUCAUGGACCCUCCUUUCUGAAAGAAGUCUCUAGAAUCCUUAACUAAGCUUCAUUUGACAUUUCAGACAUAUUGUGUUUAAACAUUGAUUAGACAGUGUUGACAAGUUCUUACUGACACCAUCACAGACUUGUGGUCAUCUCAGCAGAAAGAGGAAGACCAAUUGAAGGAAGCUCUGAGGUGUGGUCAUCUAAUAUCUGCUCUCAGGAGAGAACAUGUAAGAAAAGUAGACAAUUGGAAAGAAAUUUAUUUCUUCAUCUCUGUCUCUUCUAUCUAAAAACAAUGUGGAGAGAGGAAGAGAACUUCACAGAUAGAAUAGCGUUUGUAUAAAUAAUGAAAUUGCAAUGGCAUUCUUUAGUAUUAUUGUAGAUGAAAGUUGGGGAAAGAAGGUGUGCCGACAUCUCAGUAGGAGUAGCAUGCUUGGCUUCCCCUGCCAUACCAUGAAGAACAUUCUGUGAGCCCCAAACAGAGUAACUGUGUCUUCCUUGCUGCUGCUGCUGUUUCUGAAAAUUCUGAAUGCUGAGACCAAUGGAGAGUCGAUGUCAGUAGAGGUCAUCCAACUGAGUCUUCAUAGGCACACAAGUUCUUAAAGAGAACUUUAUUAUAUUUUUAAUUUGAGGCUUUCUUCAUUUUUAUUUUACAUCUAUGAGUGUUUUGCCUGCAGAUAUGUCUAUAUGUCCUGUGUUUGCAGGACUCAGAGUCCAGUAGAAGGCAUUGGACGCUCCAGAACUGGAUUUACACAUGGCUGUGAGCCACCAGAAUUUGUUAAUGCAAAAUACAGCUCCCACUUCAAAGACAAUAAAAACAGUUUGUUCUGAGCAAAACGCAAGUGACCCUGACGUGAAAAACGGAUUCAUGAUGCUUCCUAUAACGUUCUAAUGUGGAAGUAGGAGGAAAGAUUGUUCCACCAGGGCUAUAGGAAUUCCACAGGAAGAAUCAACUCACCUGGACCAUUGGAGUUUUCAGAGGCUGAACCACCAACCAAAGAACAGACACAGGCUGGACCUAGGCAUCCCUGCACAUCUGUAGCAGAUGUACAGCUUGUUCUUCAUGUGAGUUCUGAACAACUGGAAUGGGGACGAUCCCAAAAGCUGUACCUGGGCUAUGUUUUUCUAGACGGGUUGCCCUGUCUGGCCUCAGUGGGAGAGGAUGUGCCUAGCUUCACAGAGACUAAUGUGCCAGGGUUGGGGUAUACCCAGGAGGAACCCACUAGCUUAAAGAAGAAAGGGAGAUGGGGAAAGAUUGUGGGAGUGGGAGACUGGGAGAGGGGCAGUGAGCAGGUUCCUAAAAAGUGAAUAAAGAAAAAAUAAACAAAAAUUAAAUUAAAGAUGAAUGAAACCCACAAGAAUUUGCACUUUUGAUCUCACAGCAGCUGUGACUGCAGACAGAAGACCUGCACAUGUUCAAUCCUCACAGAAUCCCAGCAUGUGUGGAAAUGGGUCUUACGAAGUUCCACCUCUAACUAAGAAGCCCAACAAUUGGGCUUCUGGGGUAAAAGAGUCAUUUUUUCAGGGUGCAACACCUGGGGGAUACUGGUACUCUAGUAGGUGACCCUAUAGCUUUUGCAUAUAUUGACAACACUAAAGAGAAUCAGUGUGUAAAACCAAGCCAAGCCAAACCAGACCAAACCAAACCAAACCAACCCAAACCAAACCAACCCGAACCAAACUAAACCAAACCAAACUAAACCAAACCAAACAUUAUGUGAACUUGGGAGGGAAUAGCUGGAAUGGAGGGGGAAAGUGGAACUAGGAGGGGGAUGAAUAGGACAGGAUCCAGUUGCGUCAUGUGAAUUAUGAAUAUUUUAAACAAUUAAGUAAUAUUACAAAUAGAAACACCAUAACCAAUGUUGUUAUUCACUGUAUUUCCCAAGCUGAACCAUCUUGUAGGCAAUCAAUUCUGUUUUGCUUCCCUGGCCCAACUGAUUAAAUGUCAGCAUUUCUUUUCAGAGGUGGAGAAAUUGAUAUUAUGGUCUUUUACUUACAUUAUUCUUACUCUUUCAUAAAUUUCUCCCCAAGUUUCAGACAGCCUUCAAUUACAUUUUGGCAAAUGUUUCACGAUAAAAUUUAUUUGUAAGUAUUUUCUAUGUUUUGUUACUGGUAAAAGGAAGAUACUGUGCUUAUUUAAAUCAGGGUUGCUAUUUUUUUUUCAAAGGAAAACAGGACUCAAAGAACGAUAGGAGGCAUUAUGCCAUUUUAAAAUGCCCCUGCUUUUCCUAGUUGACAAGGACCAAAAUGCUAUAAUUUACCCUCAAGUCAUGUUCCUUUUCUCUGUCAUUGUCCAAGAAUUGUAUUUUUCAGUUCUGUUGGAAAUUGGCUGAGGCUUGAUGUGUGCUAUCUUUCCAAAGAUUGAUUAUGGUGUGACAUCCUAAUGGCAUCUGGCUUGCUACUGACCAAGAGGUGACAAUGGAGUUAGGGAACUGACAGUGAUGUAAAGGGUACAUGACUGCCAAGCUCUCUCUUUUGGGCUAUUUUUAUACAUUGUACUGAGUUUGAGCCCUGACUCUCCACUACUGGAAACCUGUAGUCUUUACCUGAAUAGUCUUCAAAGCACAAUACCCCUAUUUAAUCUCCUGUCGUAUAUUGAUUCAUUCUCUCUCUCUCUCUCUC
rnacentral:sRNA from 1 species